rnacentral:rRNA from 1 species
ACGGGUGAGUAACACGUGGGCAAUCUGCCCUGCAUUCUGGGACAAGCCUUGGAAACGAGGUCUAAUACCGGAUACGACGCAUCUCCGCAUGGAGUGUGCGUGGAAAGCUCCGGCGAUGCAGGAUGAGCCCGCGGCCUAUCAGCUUGUUGGUGGGGUAAUGGCCUACCAAGGCGACGACGGGUAGCCGGCCUGAGAGGGCGACCGGCCACACUGGGACUGAGACACGGCCCAGACUCCUACGGGAGGCAGCAGUGGGGAAUAUUGCACAAUGGGCGAAAGCCUGAUGCAGCGACGCCGCGUGAGGGAUGACGGCCUUCGGGUUGUAAACCUCUUUCAGCAGGGAAGAAGCGCAGGUGACGGUACCUGCAGAAGAAGCACCGGCUAACCACGUGCCAGCAGCCGCGGUAAUACGUAGGGUGCGAGCGUUGUCCGGAUUUAUUGGGCGUAAAGAGCUCGUAGGCGGCUUGUCGCGUCGGAUGUGAAAGCCCGGGGCUUAACUCCGGGUCUGCAUUCGAUACGGGCAGGCUAGAGUGUGGUAGGGGAGAUCGGUAUUCCUGGUGUAGCGGUGAAAUGCGCAGA